rnacentral:ncRNA from 1 species
GCUGUCUACGAGUCGGUUUGUUUGGGAAUGCAGCCCUAAUCGGGCGGUAAAUUCCGUCCAAGGCUAAAUACGGGCGAGAGACCGAUAGCGA